ACCUCGUGGUUGAGGCAUUGUAUAAGUUUUCAAUCAAAUCUCUCCCAUACUUCAUACAAAGGCUCUUCAUUCAAUUGUUAAAAGUUUGUGAUUUCAUCACGUAAUU
rfam:Capsicum annuum cultivar Zunla-1 chromosome 12, whole genome shotgun sequence